CGGUAGCUGGACUAAACCGGGUCGAAAGACCGAACCCAGCCUUCAACGCCCAUCCAGGGCACAUCAACCCCGCGGG
rfam:Thauera sp. 27 Cont24, whole genome shotgun sequence.